UGAGGCAUAAGUUAUAUGGCUGGUGGAAAUGAGGCAUAAGUCAUAUGGCUGGUGGAAAUGAGGCAUAAGUCAUAUGGCAGGUGGAAAUGAGGCAUAAGUCAUAUGGCUGGUGGAAAUGAGGCAUAAGUCAUAUGGCUGGUGGAAAUGAGGCAUAAGUUAUAUGGCUGGUGGAAAUGAGGC